ACGCGGUCAGCCCGCGUGGAGUCGUCAGAGACACACACCGGGCGGGAGGGGCGCCGGCGGCGGGCGUGUCCGCUCCCACCGAGGGUUACCCGGGCCGGCUCAAGUCCGGAUCCCGCUCCCAAACGGGCCCACCCCGACCGGCGCACCCGACCUGCUCCAGGGUGAGGAGAAGAAACUCCUGAGACAGCAGCUCCGGGUGCAGCAGCAGCUCCGAAUCCGUGCAGCUGCGACCGCCCACAUCCCCCGCCAUCGUCGUCGCCAGGAGACCCCGGCCAGCUACCCACAAGGCUCCACGAAGGAAGCGUCCCGGAAGUGACGUCACGCUCGGGGCCUUGCACGUGACGUCAUCCCGGGUGCGCCGCGCGCCCCGCUCCGCCUCUGGUGGCUUGCAGGGGUGCUGGGAGAGAUCUGGCGGAGGGGAGACUCCCGGGGCCGAAAGAAGUGGAAGGGACUUCUGCAGAGGGAAUGAUUGGCGUUUGACGUCUUGCAAGAAGGGACGGGAAAAACGAAGUUCCCGGAGCGGGCCACGGUUGGGCGCGCUUCCUGUGACGUCCAAUGGCAGAGGCCAAAGGGAUUCCUAAAAACAGUCUCGCGGGAAAGCAGCGGGGCGGCCGGGAAGUCCGUUGACCUAAAUAUGGCGCCGCUCGUGGCUGCCGUCGUUUUGGUUCUUUUUCAACCUACUUCCCUUAAACCUUUUUCAGUAGGAUGAUGUAAGGCCAGAUACCUUAAUUCCUUGUAAGCCCAUGGCUCCGCACAUCGUAGGUGCUCAAGAAUUCUCUGAAGUAAUACUCCGAAUAAACUUGCUCACGUGUGAAAAUAAUAAUAAAUUUGCUAGACGUUUACGGUGGGCCAGGUACUGGGUUCUCCUCAGAAGAGCCCUGCGACGUAUGUGUUAGGAGAGUGCUCCUCUUCCAGGCAGGGAAACCGAGACCUAGGGUCGUUCGCUGAGAAUAGGGAGUGAGGAGGUGGCAAGGCGGGCGCUCAAGUUCACUGCACUUACAACUACGCUCCAAGAAGUCUCUUCUACUUGUUUUUCAUCUUUUGUGCAAGACUGAUAACAUCCCAAAACAUUAAGCACAUCUAAAACUUGCGGAAGUGUUCUAAGUGCAUCUUCUAUGAUGUGUCAUUUUAUUGGACAUUACUGCUUUAAGACACAGGAAUGACUCUGAGGAUGCUAAAAGAUAAACCUUGAAAAAAAAAUUGGGAAAUAAGUGAGAUGCUAAAUCAAAAAGAUAAAGGAAAGCUGAGGACAGGUGUUUUUGCAGUUUUUCUUCAUCAUUUAUGUAGACGAUACUUUAUCUAGAAAUUGAAUUUCGGAGCUGGGCAGAAACUUAAGUUAGGCCACUUCUUACAUUUUAGUGUCGAGGAAGCUGACCUGAAGGACAUUGGAAUGACUUGCCCAAACUAGAACAGAGUUUUAGAGCCUAGCUGAGGCAGACCAAUCGCCUCACCUAAAGCCCCAAGCUUCUUAUCAGCAAAAAUGUUUUGUGACAGGGCAAGGAAGACAGACAUUCCCCGACCCUCAAGCCAGGCUGUCACCUUGAUUGGAAGAACCAGGCCUCUCAGCACCAAAACCAUGAGACAGAACACCAAACACCAGAGUGGACAAGGAACAUCUCCAAACCCCUGUGGGGGACCAGUGAUGCUAGGACCUGAAUAUCCUGCUUCCCAUCUUGGCUCUUCAGAAAUUCCCCGACCCAAUUAACACAGCCCUGGGGAAGAGACAAGGCUUCCAUUGGAUCCCCAGUAGCCUCUGCCAUAGUACCUGGUACAUAGGAGUAGCUACUGGAUCUAGAUUGCAGUCCCUGCGGGGCCAGAAGAAAGCUGAGGCCAUCUGUCACGUCACUGGUGGAUUCUAAAGUCAGGGAAAACCAUUGAGAAAAUGUGCCUUUUCUAUGCUAAUAAUUGAAUGCUGACCACGAUGGAGGGAGCUUCCUAAUUGUUUCAUCUCAACAUUGGAUUUGGACUAUAUAUUGAAGAGACAGGUUCAUGGAUUUCUGGUACCCCAGGAUUCUUCACUGUGGCUGGUGACACAGAGGAACAGGUACUGAUAGGCUUUAGUAAAAAGAGUGGGUAAGAUAGACCCAGGACUCCCUUUUAAAAUAAAC